rnacentral:misc_RNA from 1 species
AUCAAAUCCGUGCUUGGCGCGGACAGUGUCGCAAUGUCGGUCAUGCUACACGAUGUCCUUCACGCCAAACGCUGCGCACCACCGGCAGAUCUUGUGCAAGAUGCACGCGGAUCAGAUCCGCGCGUUUACCGGCAACGAUUUCACCCCGGUCAGAGAGGCCAACAGCUUCCGCGGCGGUUUUAGUGACGGUUCGCACCGCUGCUGCCAGAU